UUGCAAUAGAUAAUUAUUAAUUCACUCCGUAAUUUUUCACACGUGGUCCGCCAAUUUUUUUUCACUUUAUUAAAAAAGGUUUUAUCUUUCUCAAUAGAACAAAAGGUUAAGCUAAAAGCCCUAUUUCUCUUGCUGUUUCAAACAAACAAGCUCUUCGCAGCUCGUAAUAAAGUUCCAUUUCUCUUGGGAUUUCAGACAAACAAGCUCCGAAUGCGAUUGUGAAAUUUUCUCAAACAACAAGCUUUCAAAUCUCAUAGACUAGUGAAAUUUCGAGCUCUUAGUGAAAUUAAGCUUAUGGUAAACAACAAUCUUCCCAGAACAGUAAUCUGUUUGUGAAAUUUUAACUUCUUAGUGAAAUUUCAACCUCUUAGUGAAAUUUCCAUCCAUUUAGAUGUCUCGUGGGGUUAGUUCAGAUGCCGUUUUAUGCUAUUUUUGUAGCUUUAUGGAGAAAAUGAGUAAACUGUGAGUACUGCAGUGAACGAGAUUCUGGUGUAACUCUAUGUGACCACUUGAAUUCAGAAAAUUUCUGGAAUUGGAGAAUUCAAGACCUCAUGAAUUCUGGAGUAAUUCCCGUGCACGCUCACACAAGCUUGGAGAGGAUGCGGAUCUCACUCUUGAUGAUUGUUGCCUUUUCCUUUGGUGCUUCUGUUGGUCUAUUUAUUGAAUAUCUCUUUGAAAUCGAUCAAGUGCAACACACGGAAGUUUCUAAACAUUGUUUUAUAUGGUUGCUUUUACUGCUUUCUUGUCAUAUUAUAUGACAGGGCUAUAUUCAGCAAAUCAAUCGCCCAUUUAUUGAUAGUAACAAUCAAGGUCUGUCUUCUUUUCUUCUUCUUCUCGUCCUUUUUGUCUUCUUCUUUUUUUAUUGGCAGCAGUAGAUAUAAAAACUUGUUGUUGUUUGGGUAAGUGGUAGCCAGUAAGGAAAGUGUUUUUCUUGACAUGUUUAUUCCAAGAGGGCUGCAUCCCCUAUGAUAUCCAGUAAACACUUCACUGCAAUGUGUGAACCUCUUGUAACAACGUGGUAGGAGGUACUUUCUAAUUCUCACUGUAAUUUUAUCUUUUGUGCUAGUAAUAGAUUUUCAUUUUCAACUCUUUCCCUUUGUUAUGUUUAAGAUAUACAUGGUUUGAUCUAGAAUGCAUUUAAUGUGGAGUUAUAUUAAGUACUUUAUGUUCUGGAUGAUAGUUUACAGAAGAUCUUCAUUACAUAUUGGAAAUGAGUAAUAAUUCCGUUGUUCAGAAAUUCCAAGAGUAUGGCUAGACAUUUCCUUUUAAAAGAUGUGUUAUGGAUACUCAAUUUAAGAUCAACUUAUAGUUUCCAUCUUAAUGUUACAGUUUUUGUGAGAAUAUAAUUAAAUCUCCGGCUGCAAUGCCAUAUAAAGAGAUUUAUAGCAGAGAUCCAUAUGAUUACUAGCUUCUUUUGCUUGACUUUUCAUUUUCACUUUUGGCUGUUUGUCUAUAAAUUUGAAAUAUGUUUCAUGAAGGUCAUUCUCUUUUCCUGAAUUUAUUGAUGAAGUUCAAGAAGUGAUUUGACCAGUUCUUGAAGCUUACUUCAAAGUAAGUAUGCACAAGCUUACUAAAGUUUAUGGAUAGAUUUACAAUAUUCUUAAUAUGGGGUAAAAAUGGGAGAAGUAGAAGGAAGGUAGCUGGGCUACAAGUCGGGUCCAUGUUCAGCCGAAUCCAGUAGUCUUGGCUCAAACGCCGUAUUUUUCUUAGGAAAUUAAUCUGAUAUUCGAAAUUAUUAUUUUAGAAUCCAUUGACUUGGAAUAGUUAGAAUUUCGAAUACAUAAACUUCAAAUCCUAGCUCUGCUUCUGACUAGGAAGGGCAUGGAAUAACAUUUUUCUGGUUCAAUAUUAUAGUGGUUGAGUAGUAUAUUGUUUUAAAGUGGUUGAGUAGUCUGGUUCAAUAAAGAGUUGUAGUUGAGUAGUAUGCUGUUUUAAAGUGGUUGAGUAGUCUGGUUCAAUAGAGUUGUAGGUAUGUUACAUGUAUAUGUUGUUAAAGUUUUAAGCUUGGAACAGGUAAAUGUGAGAUGGCAUCCAGAGGAAGCUUCUAGGCCUGAUAUUGGGGACGCUCCGAUGUUCUAUCAAGCUAAAGAGGAAUUUGGAGAUACGCUGACAUAAAUGGAUAGCAUACACACCAAAUCAGAGGCUUAUGGAAUUUGUCGCAUAGUACCUCCUGCUUCGUGGAAACCUCCAUUCCCUCUUAAGGAAAAAACUAUAUGAGAGAACUCCAAAUUUGCUACCCGUGUUCAGAGGAUUGACAAACUUCAGAAUCGAGAUUCGAUGAGAAGGAUGUGGGAAGCUAAUGCUCCUAAGAAAAAGAAAAGAAGAAGAUGCUUAAAAACUGGAGUAGACCUGGGUAAUUGAUAAUGUUGCCAGUAAACACCUGGUGAAGCUGAGAGGUUUGGAUUUGGACCUGGUCCAGAGUUCACUCUGGAUACAUUUCAGAAAUAUGCUGAUGAUUUCGUACUUACUGCUAUAUAGAAACUUAACAAAUCGUUUGGACUUGAUUAACAUUUUACUUUCGGAUUUAAAUUACUAGCUUGUUGCAUAUUUUGGAUUAUGAGAUUAUUAAUGAAUGAUUUUGUUUUGUGAUGUGUA